GGACCCGCACAAGCGGUGGAGCAUGUGGUUUAAUUCGAAGCAACGCGAAGAACCUUACCAAAUCUUGACAUCCUUCUGACGUGCCAGUAAUGUGGCAUUCCCUUCGGGGCAGGAGAGACAGGUGGUGCAUGGUUGUCGUCAGCUCGUGUCGUGAGAUGUUGGGUUAAGUCCCGCAACGAGCGCAACCCUUAUCUUUAGUAGCCAGCAGUAAGAUGGGAACUCUAGAGAGACUGCCGGGGAUAACCCGGAGGAAGGUGGGGAUGACGUCAAAUCAUCAUGCCCCUUAUGAUUUGGGCUACACACGUGCUACAAUGGCGUAAACAAAGAGAAGCGAAACCGUGAGGUCAGGCAAAUCUCAAAAAUAACGUCUCAGUUCGGAUUGUAGUCUGCAACUCGACUACAUGAAGCUGGAAUCGCUAGUAAUCGCGAAUCAGAAUGUCGCGGUGAAUACGUUCCCGGGUCUU
rnacentral:rRNA from 1 species